GAUGAACGCUAGCGGCAGGCCUAACACAUGCAAGUCGAGGGAGAAGCCCUUCGGGGCAGAAACCGGCGCACGGGUGCGUAACGCGUAUGCAACCUACCUUUCACAGGGGGAUAGCCCGAAGAAAUUUGGAUUAAUACCCCAUAAUAUUAUUGGAUGGCAUCAUUUGAUAAUUAAAAUUGCGAUGGUGAAAGAUGGGCAUGCGUCCUAUUAGCUAGUUGGAGUGGUAACGGCACCCCAAGGCUACGAUAGGUAGGGGUCCUGAGAGGGAGAUCCCCCACACUGGUACUGAGACAGGGACCAGACUCCUACGGGAGGCAGCAGUGAGGAAUAUUGGUCAAUGGUCGGAAGACUGAACCAGCCAUGCCGCGUGCAGGAAGAAUGCCUUAUGGGUUGUAAACUGCUUUUAUAUGGGAAGAAUAAGGAGCACGUGUGCUUUGANGACGGUNCCA
rnacentral:rRNA from 1 species